rnacentral:rRNA from 1 species
GACGUAGGGCGCGAGCGUUGUCCGGAUUUAUUGGGCGUAAAGAGCUCGUAGGCGGCUUGUUGCGUCGACCGUGAAAACCCGGGGCUCAACUUCGGGCUUGCGGUCGAUACGGGCGGGCUAGAGUUCGGUAGGGGAGACUGGAAUUCCUGGUGUAGCGGUGGAAUGCGCAGAUAUCAGGAGGAACACCGAUGGCGAAGGCAGGUCUCUGGGCCGCAACUGACGCUGAGGAGCGAAAGCAUGGGGAGCGAACAGG